GUGCUCCCUUCAGCAGCACAUACACUAAAAUUGAAACAAUACAGAGAAUAUUAGCAUGGCCUGUGCACAAGGAUGACAUGCAAAUCCAUGAAGCAUCCUAUAUUUAA
ensembl:snRNA U6 U6 spliceosomal RNA